rnacentral:rRNA from 1 species
UACGAAGGGGGCGAGCGUUGUUCGGAAUUACUGGGCGUAAAGGGCGCGUAGGCGGCCUUCUAAGUCGAACGUGAAAUCCCCGGGCUCAACCCGGGAACUGCGUCCGAUACUGGGAGGCUUGAAUCCGGGAGAGGGAUGUGGAAUUCCAGGUGUAGCGGUGAAAUGCGUAGAUAUCUGGAGGAACACCGGUGGCGAAGGCGGCAUCCUGGACCGGUAUUGACGCUGAGGCACGAAAGCUAGGGGAGCAAACAGG